rnacentral:ncRNA from 1 species
GGACUUCGCGGUGCCAUACGGCGCUAUGCCCAACGGCGACAGCAGAGGAAGCCGGUGCGAAUCCGGCGCGGUCCCGCCACUGUCACCGGGGAGCACGUCCCCACCCGAGCGUCACGGCCGCGUGAGCGGCUGGAAGGCCGGGGGCGUGCCGAUCCGGGAGCCAGGAGACUCUCGUCGCCGGUCACGUCGAAC